rfam:Myotis brandtii contig284619, whole genome shotgun sequence.
CAAAAGGCUUUUUUAAAAAGCCACUUAUAAGGAUUUGGAAGUUCUGU